rnacentral:rRNA from 1 species
UACGGAGGGUGCAAGCGUUAUCCGGAUUCACUGGGGUUAAAGGGUGCGUAGGCGGGUUGUUAAGUCAGUGGUGAAAGCUCCGAGCCUAACUCGGAAACUGCCAUUGAUACUGACGAUCUUGAGUACAUUUGAGGUGGGCGGAAUGUGUCAUGUAGCGGUGAAAUGCUUAGAUAUGACACAGAACACCGAUUGCGAAGGCAGCUCACUAAACUGUAACUGACGCUGAGGCACGAAAGCGUGGGGAGCAAACAGG